UACGUAGGGUGCGAGCGUUUGUCCGGAAUUACUGGGCGUAAAGAGCUCGUAGGUGGUUUGUCGCGUUGUCCGUGAAAACUCACAACUCAAUUGUGGGCGUGCGGGCGAUACGGGCAGACUGGAGUACUGCAGGGGGAGACUGGAAUUCCUGGUGUAGCGGUGGAAUGCGCAGAUAUCAGGAGGAACACCGGUGGCGAAGGCGGGUCUCUGGGCAGUAACUGACGCUGAGGAGCGAAAGCGUGGGGGAGCGAACAGG
rnacentral:rRNA from 1 species